ensembl:snRNA U6 U6 spliceosomal RNA
GUGCUCAUUUCAGCAGCACACAUACUAAAAUUGGAAUGAUACAGAGAAGAUUAACAUGGCCCCUGCACAAGGAUGACACACAAAUUCGUGAAGCAUUCCAUUAAAAA